CCUCCUCCUCCUCUUCCUCCCGCUGGCUGAGGUUGCAGUACAGCUCCUGAGCGAGGACCCGGUGUGGAGCGGGACGGGCGAUGCCAGCUCACUGCAUCAUCUGACCGCCGUGUUUAUGAGAGCCCGCUGCACCAUGUCUGCCACACAUCUUGAAGAUACAGAGAAUGUGUUCGAUCUGAACGAGGCCAUUCCUGAGACGGAGCUGCUGGACAACAGCAUACAGAAAGGCAGAGCUCAGCUCUCGGUGAAGACCAGGAGACACCGCCCCUCCCGCUCCCACUACCGCGACAGCAUCAGCUCCACUGAGGGGGACGAGAGUUUGGA